rnacentral:lncRNA from 1 species
GUCUGAAAAGGAAGUUGAAGAAGACAAAGCAGGAGGAAGAAGAGAGAGAGAAGGAGGAGGAGAGUACAUUUAAAACUUCUCAAGAGAAACCCUGACGCCCAGAGGCCUGCCCACCACAUGGCCCGCCUGCAGCAGGAACCACUACAAUGUGCAAUAGGUGGUGUUUACAUCUUACCAUCUUACUGGACUCUUCCUGUGAGGCUCUUCACAUCCCUUUAAGAAGAGCAGCAUUUCCCUCGUGUGAAUGUAGAGGUAAGCUCAGCUCCCUGUUUGCCGGGAGUAUCUAAAGCAGUGGUUCUUACCCUGUGGGUUGAGACCCUCAGAGGGGUCGCAUCUCAGAUGAUAUCCUGCAGUCAGAGAUCCUGCACAUCAGAGAUCCUGCAAUCAGAGACCCUGCACAUCAGAGAUCCUGCAGUCAGAGAUCCUCCAGUCAGAGAUCCUGCACAUCAGAGACCCUGCACAUCAGAGAUCCUGGCUGAUGCUUACCACAAUGCCAAAGGAACUGUAUUAAAGGGUUGCAGCAUUAGGAAGGUUAAAAAUCACUGGAAAAAGGCAAAUGUCUGAACAAUAACUGUUUGUCUUUGAAGGCCACAUAGUCCAGUAAAACGUGACAUUGACCCAUUUCAGAUGACUUUGACCCGACUUGUGAAAUAUUAACCUUGACAUUAUUGUGGUACAGCACAUUCUCCUCUGAGGGCCACUACCCACUCUAAAGAUACUCUGAAUCAAUACAAGUCGAAGGAAACUUGCCCAGAAAAACACACAUGCGACUUCCAGGUCCUCCUUGAAAGGAGUCAAGGGAAGAUGAAGAAUUUUGCUUCUUUCAACCAUAAAUAUUAGUUUCUUUACCCCAUCACGAGAUUCUAUUAUUUGAGAAUAAUUUCUGCACGCAUCCUCUGAAAUCCUUAAAGCACCUUACUGAAGUUCAGUUUCUCCCCUUUUCAUCUUCCUACCAAAUUUGUGGAUACCCAAUCUCGAAUCAGAGAGGGACAAGAAUUGCCUGGAGUCACACGGCAUCUGGCAGUUCCACGAUCCCUCAGUGUUUCUACUUGUUUGUUUGUUUGUUUGUUUGUUUGCUUUUUCCCAUUUGUGUCCUAUCUGGCUGAAGCUCCAGCUGCUGCUGCAGUCUCACUCUCUGUGGGAGGUCACAAGCCACCAGCCAUCAGUCCAGUAAGGAAGUGUUCUGUACACCUUUAGCUGCAGCUGGCAUAGAGCUCAGGGGCGGCUGUCCCUCAAGAAGCUGACAAGUGUGGGAGAGGAGCAAACACCAUGCAUGUCACUGUCCCAUCGAGUCACUACCAGCUCAGAAGGACUUGAGGGAUCUGUGCUACUGGUCCCCCAACACCUGCCUGUGUCUCUUCCUGUACUCUAUCCCCAGGAGACGGCCGUGUCAUCCCCUGUUGCACAGUUGAGGGCCAGCUGCAAGCCUAUCCUGAGGCCACCUGUGAUGCUUAUGGUCCAUUAGCUUACUGGCACCUCACCUCCCAUACCAGUCCGUCACCUGCCUUGCCUUUUGCAGCUCGUGUAGCUCCCUAAUCAGUGAGUUGCUCUUCAAGGCUAGUCUCCUGGCCUUGUGAUUCCUCUCCCAGGGUGUGAACACUCUGCCCUUGCCCUCCAAUCUAUCUGGCAUCGAGAGAAUUCUUGCAGCAGUUUUAGAAAAACAAAAAUCUAUUUGUGUCAUGUUUCAUGUUGCUAGGUUGCUUUUCCUCUUCCUCCUUCUGUUCUUUUGCAAAUAACAAAUGUUUUAGUAUUAAAUUUACUAGGUUCCUUAAAAUUAUGUAACAGAUUUGUCUGUCUUAUCAUCUAUAUUCUAUUUUAAAAGUAGUCAUUCUUUUUUUGCAAUUUAAAUGCACAAAAAUAUAUACAACCUCCCUAUUCAAGUCCUCAAGGAUACACCUUUAUCAACAAAAUGUAGCAUCUUUAUUUUUAAAUAGCAAAAGCUUAAUGGUAUGAACUAAAAUGAACAGAUUCAUUU